rnacentral:rRNA from 1 species
AGAGACAGCAGUCGCCGCGGGAAUACGAAGGGUGCAAGCGUUAAUCGGAAUUACUGGGCGUAAAGCGUGCGUAGGCGGUGAGUUAAGUCUGCUGUGAAAUCCCCGGGCUCAACCUGGGAAUGGCAGUGGAUACUGGCUCGCUAGAGUGUGUCAGAGGAUGGUGGAAUUCCCGGUGUAGCGGUGAAAUGCGUAGAGAUCGGGAGGAACAUCAGUGGCGAAGGCGGCCAUCUGGGACAACACUGACGCUGAGGCACGAAAGCGUGGGGAGCAAACAGGAUUAGAUACCCCCGUAGUCCCUGUCUCUUAUAC